GAUGAACGCUGGCGGCGUGCCUAAUACAUGCAAGUCGAACGAAACUUCUUUAUCACCGAGUGCUUGCACUCACCGAUAAAGAGUUGAGUGGCGAACGGGUGAGUAACACGUGGGCAACCUGCCCAAAAGAGGGGGAUAACACUUGGAAACAGGUGCUAAUACCGCAUAACCAUAGUUACCGCAUGGUAACUAUGUAAAAGGUGGCUAUACUACCGCUUUUGGAUGGGCCCGCGGCGCAUUAGCUAGUUGGUAGGGUAAAGGCUUACCAAGGCAAUGAUACGUAGCCGAAUUGAGAGGUUGAUCGGCCACAUUGGGACUGAGACACGGCCCAAACUCCUACGGGAGGCAGCAGUAGGGAAUCUUCCACAAUGGGCGAAAGCCUGAUGGAGCAACGCCGCGUGGGUGAAGAAGGUCUUCGGAUCGUAAAACCCUGUUGUUAGAGAAGAAAGUGCGUGAGAGUAACUGUUCACGUUUCGACGGUAUCUAACCAGAAAGCCACGGCUAACUACGUG
rnacentral:rRNA from 1 species